AUGGAUGGAUGGAUGGGCAGGCACAGGGACGUAUGAACCAUUGUAAAGUUUGUGUGUUGCAGUGGUAGCUAGUCACAUGAAUAGUGAUGGGAGCUGACAGCUUCUGGCUGUAGGGGCUUUCCAGGCUUCUUCCAGGAAGACUAAAACAGCCUCGGGAUACCCUUAGGAUGGUCUUAAUAUAAUCUGAUUUCCCUCUUCUAAUCUUGAGUUGAUUGCAACAAACUAUGUGUAAAUAUUUUAAGUGUUCAGUGCAAAAUGCUGAGCUGGCAGUAACAUAGCCACAGCCUGAGCAAGCAUUCAUGCUCACAUUGACUUGCACUUGCACUUCCAUCAUGGUCAGGAUGGGGCACCAAGCUUUGGAUUGCUGCUUAAAAUUGUUUAAUGGCCGAGAAUUAUUUUAUUGUUGUUAAGAUCUCUAAAAUCAGACACCCCUCCAAAAACCCCCAUGGAAAAUUAACAAAUGCUGCCUCUGUUAACCCAGGUCUGAGCAGCACUUGCAAAGAUGGAUGACAUGGGGUAGAUUGCCACUUCCCUGGGUUUUAUGUUGGUGUUUAGGAUAAACUUUCCGUAAGUGAUGCUAUGACUGUUGCUAAGCAACAAGUGAUGUUUGCUAUGGCAAAUAUUCCCCUCUUAAAGGUACAUUUGCAAGGAGUAAUCUUUUGUGUGCAUGAAAUUAAUCUGCAGAUGUAUGGAUUUAGGUUAGUUAAUGACAAUAAACUUUGGAAAUGCUUCAUUGUGGUGUUAAAAUGGAAUACAGUUAAAAUGGAAUACAAUGUGCCAAGAAGAUACUGCGUAGCAAAAACAUUGAGCCCUCCCCUUUAAUUAAUUGGACCUUAAAGCAGGGAUGUCUUAGCCACAAAAAUAAAUUAACAGUGAAUCAGGUUAUAGAAUAAAUUAACAAAUCGGGUUAGUUGGGAAGUUUGAAAGAAGGUGCAUCUGUGAGCUGCUUGCAUGGCAAAUAGAGUUCAAAAGUCUUGAGCUGGAAGGAAGGCUCACACAGGAAAAUAUAACUGUGCAGGCACUGAUUGGAAGUGGUAGAUUUUCAGCCUUUAUCAUUCAAGAUUGGACUUGCCCUAAACAUGGAUUAAAAGUCAGGCAUGGUGUAAUGCCCACCAAAGUCAAAGUGGCCAACACCAAGAAAAGACUUUGGCUGCUUUGUUUCUUCUGCUUUUUGUGACUAGUUGCCAUAGAUUUGCAGAGGAUAAUGGUCCUUUCACAGGCCAUCACAAACCUCCCUUUUCCUUUUAUUUUUUAAGCUUCUUUUACUCCUUUCACUUUUCUCCACCAGCAAGGACUUUACAUUGUCUCCUGUGCCUGCAGAAGAUGCUCUUACCCCUCACUUGCUCCCCAGGGACUUAGCCGCCCAUCCAAUGGCUCUCAUCACCCACUAACCUUGGCCAACAUGACAGCUGUUGGAGAUGCACAGAGCCAACUUCAAGGCCUGGGCAGAGGUGCUGCUGGCUCCCUGUGUCUUCAUGCUGCAAAACUUCUCUGUGCACCUUCACUUGCUCUGCUGCCUUGGCAGGGCUGGAAAAACACUCAUUUGAUGGCAGCAAGAAUAAGAGGAGCUGUGGCAAGGGUUUGGACCCAGAAUAUCCAUUACUGCACCUGCCAUUCUGAUGUUCCUCAGCUGGAAGCAGAAGGAUGCUCCACUGAUGGGGGGAGUCCAGAAAAGGGUUGUCAGUGGCAGCUUGACCUUUCUGGUCCCUGUGGUGCCUUGGGAGGGCCAGGGCAGCUGCAUCCUUUCACUGCCUGACUUAGGGACAUAGGAGCAUCUCUUGUGCCCAAAAAGGAAGAACUCCACAUGGUGCAGAUGACAUUUCAUACAGAUUUGGUUGGGUGUUAUCUGCUGUGAACAUAAAUACCAGCUCAGUAGUUUCACUCUUAUAAAUGAUAAGCUGAAACCUCUUUUGGUUGUUUCUCAGUCAAAUGCCAGUAAUAAAAUGAAAAAUCACCAUCAACCCCCACCCCCUUUAUUUGCAUAGUUUUGAUGCUGUCAAAAAAACAGACAACACUCAUGUAGCAUAAGGAGAAUUUUUAAAUAGAAGCAUUACAUUUUAAAACCCUAAUAAAGAUAAAAGCAAAAUAAAGAGCGAAAUUUGAAUUUAGAGAAUGGGAGAAGAAAGAUUAGUCUGUGCUGAUGAAGUAAUGAAGGUAGUGUCUGGUAACAAUUUUUAAUAGCACAUUAAUGCUGAAUUACUUUGGAAUUUCUGCAGGAGUUGAGAUGACAUCCACAUAAACACCAAAUGAAUUCCAAAUGAUUGGUAUUAUCAUAAAGAGCACUAAAUGAAUUAAUAAUGACGGAACACUUAAACUAAAACGUUAUCUUCUCUAAUCUGUUGUCUCUUUUAUGCACUGCUCAAUUCAUUUUUAGCCAACUAUGACCCCUUCUUUCGUUUGUCUUUUAAUUUAAAAUAUAUAUAUAUUUAUUUUUGCACAAAUGUUCUGCUCCUGUACUGCAUGAAGCAGGACGUGGACUAGUCCAUCUUCAUAACAGUUUUGUGUUAGCAUCACAAAAUGUAAGAGAUAGAUGGGAAGACAUCUGGACGUGAGACAUAUCACUGGGAAAAUGACUAUGACUAAUAAGAACCAUAAUAAUAACAAUUCUGCCUUGAUGGUCCCACAUGUGCAGAGACCUCAGGGCACCCUUAACAGCGCUUAAUAGACUAAAUGGCUCACUUUA